UGACACCACACAAUCCCAGACACUUGGGAGGCUGAGGCAGGGCCGCACCACUGAGGACAAGGCUUGGCUCUAAGAUGCUGUUCCACACCCUCCAUGCCGAGGAGCCCUUGUAGCCAGUGUACCGCUCUGGGUUCAGCAGCAGGUCCACGUACUGCGCAGCAGGGGAGCGCUCAUCUGCCAGGAACAGCAGGAGACGUGUCAGUGCUCACUACAGUCACUUCCAGCUCCCACUGCUGGGCGGUUACCCCGCGACUGCACUUGACCCUGGAUUUGUACAGCUUGAACAAGUUACUCAAGAGAGGAAAGAACAACUUCUUCCUUUCUUUGGCUUCUCAAAGUUCACUCAAGUAAUGCAACAUUCUCUACCUUAGUUAUAACCACCCAGGAAUAAAAAGAAAUAACAGCA